rnacentral:RNase_P_RNA from 1 species
AAUGGUGAGUAGUCGCGGCUCAUGGUUUACAUGAGUUGAGGAAAGUCCAGGCUCGCCCGGCGCUGAGAUGCCCGGAGUGUUCUUGCCAUCUGUAAAGGUGGGCAGCAGACUUCGUAUCUGCUGACGGCGGAGAAAUCAUGCUAAGUCCAAAAAGGAUAUGCUGAGAGUAACCUUAAAGUGCCACAGUGACGAAUUCUUCUGGAAACGGAAGAAGUGGAACGAGGUAAACCCCAAGAGCGAGCAACCCAAAUUUAGGUAGGGGCACCAUCCAGCGGGAAUAACGAACUAAAAGGAUGGAUUGAUUGAACAAAUCAAUAGUUAUAUGACUGCACCUGGUUGUGCGAGAUUGGCAUCGUUAUUAGCACACAGGAACAAAACCUGGCUUAUAGCC